AGAGUUUGAUCCUGGCUCAGAAGAACGCUGGCGGCAUGCCUAACACAUGCAAGUCGAACGAGACCUUCGGGUCUAGUGGCGCACGGGUGCGUAACGCGUGGGAAUCUGCCCUUGGGUUCGGAAUAACAGUUAGAAAUGACUGCUAAUACCGCAUAAUGCAGCGGCUCGACAUCGAGACAGUUGUUAAAGGAGCAAUCCGCCUUUUGAGCAGCCUGCGGCAGAUUAGCUAGUUGGUAAGGUAAUGGCUUACCAAGGCUACGAUCUGUAACCGACCUGAGAGGGUGGUCGGUCACACUGACACUGAAUAACGGGUCAGACUCCUACGGGAGGCAGCAGUCGGGAAUUUUGGGCAAUGGGCGAAAGCCUGACCCAGCAACGCCGCGUGAAGGAUGAAGUAUUUCGGUAUGUAAACUUCGUAAGAAUAGGAAGAAUAAAUGACGGUACUAUUUGUAAGGUCCGGCUAACUACGUG
rnacentral:rRNA from 1 species